GAUGAACGCUAGCUACAGGCUUAACACAUGCAAGUCGAGGGGUAACGAGAGGAAAGCUUGCUUUCCUUGUCGACGACCGGCGCACGGGUGAGUAACGCGUAUCCAACCUGCCCCCAACUAGGGAAUAACCUUGCGAAAGUAAGACUAAUACCCUAUAAUUUCCUCAGAUGUCAUCUGACGAGGAAUAAAGAUUUACCGGUUGUGGAUGGGGAUGCGUCUGAUUAGCUUGUUGGCGGGGUAACGGCCCACCAAGGCAACGAUCAGUAGGGGUUCUGAGAGGAAGGUCCCCCACAUUGGAACUGAGACACGGUCCAAACUCCUACGGGAGGCAGCAGUGAGGAAUAUUGGUCAAUGGGCGGAAGCCUGAACCAGCCAAGUAGCGUGCAGGAUGACGGCCCUAUGGGUCGUAAACUGCUUUUAUACAGGAAUAAAGUUAGCCACGUGUGGUUAUUUGUAGGUACUGUAUGAAUAAGGACCGGCUAAUUCCGUGCCAGCCGCCGCGGUAA
rnacentral:rRNA from 1 species